rnacentral:rRNA from 1 species
AUAUCAACUAAGCGGAGGAAAAGAAACCAACAGGGAUUGCCCCAGUAACGGCGAGUGAAGCGGCAAAAGCUCAAAUUUGAAAUCCUGCGGGAAUUGUAAUUUGAAGGUUUCGUGGUCUGAGUCGGCCGCGCCCAAGUCCAUUGGAACAUGGCGCCUGGGAGGGUGAGAGCCCCGUAUGGCGCACGCCGACUCUUUGUACACCGCGGCUCCGACGAGUCGAGUUGUUUGGGAAUGCAGCUCUAAGUGGGUGGUAAAUUCCAUCUAAAGCUAAAUAUUGGCGAGAGACCGAUAGCGAACAAGUACAGUGAUGGAAAGAUGAAAAGCACUUUGAAAAGAGAGUGAAACAGCACGUGAAAUUGUUGAAAGGGAAGGGCUUGCAAGCAGACACGGUUUUACCGGGCCAGCGUCGAAAAGGGGGGAGGAACAAGAACUCGAGAAUGUGGCGCGCACCUUCGGGCGCGCGUGUUAUAGCUCGUGUUGACGCCUCCAUCCCUUUUCGAGGCCUGCGAUU